CGCCUAACACAUGCAAGUCGAGCGAUGAACAUUGAAUGAUCCCUUCGGGGUGAUUUCGAUCGGAUUAGCGGCGAACGGGUGAGUAACGCGUGAGGAACCUGCCUCUUACAACGGGAUAGCCUCGGGAAACCGGGAUUAAUACCGUAUAAGACUCCGACACCUCCUGGUGAUGAAGUCAAAGCGUUAGCGGUAAGAGAUGGCCUCGCGUCUGAUUAGUUAGUUGGCGGGGUAACGGCCCACCAAGACGACGAUCAGUAACCGGCCUGAGAGGGUGAACGGUCACAUUGGAACUGAGACACGGUCCAAACUCCUACGGGAGGCAGCAGUGGGGAAUCUUGCACAAUGGGGGAAACCCUGAUGCAGCGACGCCGCGUGAGCGAUGAAGGUUUUCGAAUCGUAAAGCUCUGUCCUAUGGGAAGAUAAUGACGGUACCAUGGGAGGAAGCCCCGGCUAACUACGUGCCAGCAGCCGCGGUAAUACGUAGGGGGCGAGCGUUGUCCGGAAUUACUGGGCGUAAAGGGUUCGCAGGCGGCAUGGCAAGUCCGAUGUAAAAGGCGAAGGCUCAACCUUCGUAAGCAUCGGAAACUGUCAAGCUUGAGUGAAGGAGAGGCAAGUGGAAUUCCUAGUGUAGCGGUGGAAUGCGUAGAUAUUAGGAGGAAUACCGGUGGCGAAG
rnacentral:rRNA from 1 species